UACGUAGGGUGCGAGCGUUAAUCGGAAUUACUGGGCGUAAAGCGUGCGUAGGCGGUUCGUUAAGUCUGCUGUGAAAGCCCCGGGCUCAACCUGGGAAUGGCAGUGGAUACUGGCGAGCUAGAGUGUGUCAGAGGAUGGUGGAAUUCCCGGUGUAGCGGUGAAAUGCGUAGAGAUCGGGGAGGAACAUCAGUGGCGAAGGCGGCCAUCUGGGACAACACUGACGCUGAGGCACGAAAGCGUGGGGAGCAAACAGGG
rnacentral:rRNA from 1 species